rnacentral:rRNA from 1 species
CAUGCAAGUCGAGCGAGAAAGGGCUUCGGCCCCGGUAAAGCGGCGCACGGGUGAGUAACACGUAGGUAAUCUGCCUCCGGGUGGUGGAUAACCUUCCGAAAGGAGGGCUAAUACAGCAUAAGACCACGCGUUCGAAAGGGCGUGAGGUCAAAGCCGGCCUCUUCAAGAAAGCUGGCGCCUGGAGACGAGCCUGCGGCCCAUCAGCUAGUUGGUAGGGUAAUGGCCUACCAAGGCGAAGACGGGUAGCUGGUCUGAGAGGAUGAUCAGCCACACUGGAACUGAGACACGGUCCAGACUCCUACGGGAGGCAGCAGUGGGGAAUCUUGCGCAAUGGGCGAAAGCCUGACGCAGCGGCGCCGCGUGAGUGAUGAAGGCCUUCGGGUUGUAAAGCUCUGUGGAGGGGGACGAAUAAGGGCCGUCGAAUAGACGGCCCGAUGACGGUACCCCUUUAGCAAGCACCGGCUAACUCUGUGCCAGCAGCCGCGGUAAGACAGAGGGUGCAAACGUUGUUCGGAAUUACUGGGCGUAAAGCGCGUGUAGGCGGCUCGGAAAGUCGGGUGUGAAAGCCCUGGGCUCAACCUAGGAAGUGCACUCGAAACUUCCGAGCUGGAGUUCUGGAGAGGAAAGCGGAAUUCUCGGUGUAGAGGUGAAAUUCGUAGAUAUCGAGAGGAACACCGGUGGCGA